UUACACUGAAGACCUUUUGCCAGAACAGUGCAUGCAAGAUUCAUUCCAAAAAGUGAUACUGAGAAGAUAUGGAAGCUGUGGACUUGAGGAUUUACACUUAAGGAAGGAUGGGGAAAAUGUGGUGUCUGUAUGAAAGCAUGUGGUCAAUUUCUGCUGCUCGGGGUUUGAGAAGUUCUAUAUUAGGAUGUCAUUUACAUACUUUUCAACAGAAGAUUGAGGACACUGAAAUAUGAGGUGUGUGAAGAAAGUACACAGAGAAACUUUUGUGGUUGACUUAUAAAACUUGUAAGUGCUGCAUGAGAUAGAUGUUCAGAGUAAUAGUCUUGUGCAUUAUUCAAAUUUUAGUAAAUUGUUUUACCAAUUGCACAUUAGAUAGUAUAGUGGAUUUUGUAAUGCUUUUCUUAGACUGUGUGAACUUAGUUUCAAUAAAACAAUUAUUUUUAAUGUGUU
rnacentral:lncRNA from 1 species